AUUGAACGCUGGCGGCAGGCCUAACACAUGCAAGUCGAACGAGUGGCGGACGGGUGAGUAAUGUCUGGGAAACUGCCUGAUGGAGGGGGAUAACUACUGGAAACGGUAGCUACUACCGCAUACCAUCGGAUGUGCCCAGAUGGGAUUAGAUAGGAUGUGGGGUAAAGGCUCACCUAGGAGACGAUCCCUAGCUGGGCUGAGAGGAUGAUCAGACACACUGGAACUGAGACACGGCCCAGACUCCUACGGGAGGCAGCAGUGGGGAAUAUUGCACAAUGGGCGCAAGCCUGAUGCAGCCAUGCCGCGUGUAUGAAGAAGGCCUUCGGGUUGUAAAGUACUUUCAGGGGGGAGGCGUUACCCACAGAAGAAGCACCGGCUAACUCCGUGCCAGCCGCCGCGGUAAUUC
rnacentral:rRNA from 1 species